CUCAGAACAAGAGCAACACUGCUCAGAACAAAAACAAAAAUGCUCAGAACAAGAGCAAAAUUGCCCAGAACAGGAACAAAGUUCAGAUACACCUCAAAAGCAGGCUAAUGAACAAAACAAAAGAAAAGAAUUAAUUCUAAACAAACAAUUAAUUGGUGGAGAACCAAUUAAUUCAGGUACUAAACAGGGCAGUCUAAAUAAAAAUCUCCAAAAU
rnacentral:lncRNA from 1 species